CUUUUUUUGAAGUGUUUCACAUUAUCUUUUCAAGGUAAAAAUAGUCUUUUUU
rnacentral:tRNA from 2 species